AUUGAACGCUGGCGGCAUGCCUUACACAUGCAAGUCGAACGGUAACAGGCCGCAAGGUGCUGACGAGUGGCGAACGGGUGAGUAAUGCAUCGGAACGUGCCCAGUCGUGGGGGAUAACGCAGCGAAAGCUGCGCUAAUACCGCAUACGAUCUAUGGAUGAAAGCGGGGGACCGUAAGGCCUCGCGCGAUUGGAGCGGCCGAUGUCAGAUUAGGUAGUUGGUGUGGUAAAGGCCCACCAAGCCGACGAUCUGUAGCUGGUCUGAGAGGACGACCAGGCACACUGGGACUGAGACACGGCCCAGACUCCGACGGGAGGCAGCAGUGGGGAAUUUUGGACAAUGGGCGCAAGCCUGAUCCAGCAAUGCCGCGUGCAGGAAGAAGGCCUUCGGGUUGUAAACUGCUUUUGUACGGAACGAAACGGUCCUGGUUAAUACCUGGGGCUAAUGACGGUACCGUAAGAAUAAGCACCGGCUAACUACGUGCCAGCAGCCGCGGUAAGAC
rnacentral:rRNA from 1 species